UUCACUUUUUUCUUUCUUCAUCUUUCUUUUUUUCUUCUUUCUUCUUUCUUCUUCUCUUCCUAUAUGGAUGGGUUUUGGAGUUCCUAUCCUGUUCUAGUCCCAUUUUCUCGUAGAAAUAGAAUGGCACAAUUGGGACUCCCCUCGUCCUGUUAGGACAUAAAACCUUGACGGCAACCUCAUCCAGGCCAUCUACCACACCUUCCAUUCCCACCC
rnacentral:lncRNA from 1 species